GCAUUGAUGGUGUAGCGGUAACAUGCGGUCUUCCCAUUUUUCUCAAUGCUUUAAUUGGCCGCGCUCCGGGUUCGACUCCCGGUCAAUGCA